rnacentral:rRNA from 1 species
GACGAACGCUGGCGGCGUGCUUAACACAUGCAAGUCGAACGGAAAGGCCCUGCUUUUGUGGGGUGCUCGAGUGGCGAACGGGUGAGUAACACGUGAGUAUCCUGCCCUUGACUUUGGGAUAACUUCAGGAAACUGGGGCUAAUACCGGAUAGGUGCUCCUGCUGCAUGGUGGGGGUUGGAAAGUUUCGGCGGUUGGGGAUGGACUCGCGGCUUAUCAGCUUGUUGGUGGGGUAGUGGCUUACCAAGGCUUUGACGGGUAGCCGGCCUGAGAGGGUGACCGGCCACAUUGGGACUGAGAUACGGCCCAGACUCCUACGGGAGGCAGCAGUGGGGAAUAUUGCACAAUGGGCGGAAGCCUGAUGCAGCAACGCCGCGGGCGGGAUGACGGCCUUCGGGGUGUAAACCGCUUUCGCCUGUGACGAAGGGGGAGGGACGGUAAUGGGUAAAGAAGCACCGGCUAACUACGUG